CUCUGUCUCAAAAUGAUUCAGGGCAAGGAGGAG
ncrna:Halalkalibacillus halophilus DSM 18494 L31-Firmicutes ribosomal protein leader